GACGAACGCUGGCGGCGUGCUUAACACAUGCAAGUCGAACGGAAAGGCCCUGCUUUUGUGGGGUGCUCGAGUGGCGAACGGGUGAGUAACACGUGAGUAACCUGCCCUUGACUUUGGGAUAACUUCAGGAAACUGGGGCUGAUACCGGCUAGGAGCUCCUGCUGCAUGGUGGGGGUUGGAAAGUUUCGGCGGUUGGUGAUGGACUCGCGGCUUAUCAGCUUGUUGGUGGGGUAGUGGCUUACCAAGGCUCUGACGGGUAGCCGGCCUGAGAGGGUGGCCGGCCACAUUGGGACUGAGAUACGGCCCAGAGUCCUACGGGAGGCAGCAGUGGGGAAUAUUGCACAAUGGGCGGGAGCCUAAUGCAGCAACGCCGCGUGCGGGAAGACGGCCUUCGGGUUGUAAGCCGCUUUCGCCUGUGACGAAGCGUGAGUGACGGUAAUGGGUAAAGAAGCACCGGCUAACUACGUG
rnacentral:rRNA from 1 species